GGAAACAAUUUGAUGACAGAAGAGGCUGUCCUUACUAUAGAUUAUAAGUCUUCAAGUGAUUGUAAUUGGGAAGAAAUAUGAAGAGAUUGAUUCAUGGUAUAUGCUUGCUCUUGUGGCUGCAGCUGAACUGGGUGAGUCAAGGAGAGAAGCUGGAGCAGAGUCCAUCUAUCCUGAGCAUGCAGGAGGGAGACAGCUGUGUCAUCAACUGUACUUAUUCAGACAGUGGUUCAGACUACUUUCUUUGGUACAAGCAAGAGCCAGGACAGGGUCUUCAGCUCAUUAUAAGCAUUCGUUCAAAUAGGGACAAAAUUGAAAAUGAAAAAUUCCUUGUGUUUUUGAAAAAGAAGGACAAACACUUCUUCCUGCACAUCAAAGAUGCCCAGCCUGGGGACUCGGCUGUCUACUUCUGUGCAGCAAGAACACAUUGCUCCCCAGGCACCUGCAGCCUGUCUUCAAACUUGCCACCAAGACUGGAGCUCCAGCCCAUACUUUGCCACAGACCUUCUUGCAUAACAUUUGACAAUUGUUUACAAGUAGCAGCUAAACACAAACAUUUAGGUCUAAGGAGACCCUGACAGACUGGCUUUGAACCCUGAUCCUCAAAUCUCAGCCAUCUGAGUAUUACAUGCAUGAUCCACUGGCAACCAGAGUGAUGGUAUCUUGGAAUCCAGACAUUUUCUGUGAGUUUACAAUAACUAUU